AAAGCCUUAGCUUAAUCAAAGCGUUUGAGUUGCAUUCAAUUAAUGUGGGAUAGAGCCCCGCAGGUUUUA
rnacentral:tRNA from 1 species